GAGUGUCACCCACUAAGCUAUUACAAGUGCAUGCCACAGUGCCCACUGCUGUCACUUCUAUGUUCUCCUCCAUUGCCUCUCAUGUUUAUAUAUUUGAAUGCACUCGUCUGUUUUACUACAAAAGAGUUCUAAAGCGAAUUUGUUACAACCCUACCAUGGCAAAUUCGCAGGAGAUUAGUACGCAGGAAAGGGGAAGCAGCAUUGCUAAGACCUGUAGAACACUCGCUCUCCUCUCCGCAGGUGCACCGAGAAUAUAUGACAGUUCCCUUUCCAUUCCUACCAUGUAGGAGGGGAGGAGAGUAUGUCAGGGGAGAUUCCUGGACUGUUAAUGACAAUGCAUUUGCUGAGACAAUAUGUAAACCUUCCAUUUAAAGCUGAUGUUGAAGUUAUAAGACUCCUUCGCCAUCCAAGAAAUGAAACUGCACUUUUCUGGCCCAAGGACAGCGCCUCUGAACUGAACAUAAACAAGGACUAUUGCAAGAGGGCCUUCCAGUGAAACGAAAUCAAAUUGGCUUGGUCUUUUAUUUCAUAAGGAUUGGAGUUUUCUGGGAGUCCUGAAGUUUCUCCUGUUAUUUCAAUCCCUUCAAGCUUCACGAAGCGGGGACUUGGGUCAGCCCCGGGAAAUAAAGCCUUGCACCUACUUCUCGAGUCCAAAGCGUCGAAAGGGUUAAGGAGUCCUGAACGGGGCUCUCACAAGGGCAAUUGGAAAAAACAAAUCGCUUCCAAGACAUCCGUUUAGUCACUACGAAAAGAAAAAAGGCUCGCGAAACAUGGUUUGGGGAAACCUGCAGAGGAAAUGGACACAGUCUGCGUUUCAGGGUUCAGUCCUCACGGUGAAGCUGAAGGAAUCAGCAGCUUCCAGUUAACACAAUUCAACCCCAGAUGAUUCUGUCAGUGGACGUCUUCUGGUCAUAGGGCUGCUUAAUUUCAUGCGUAUUUUUUACCAGCACAUGAAUCAAGCACGCCCGACCAGGUUUUUAAGGAUUGGAUGAUUUAUAUGCAUCAAAUCGGAUCUCUGAAAGCUUUUGUUUCACCUGUGUGCUUGAUAAUAUUUCUGUUAUCAGUAGUGUGCAUCUGUAAAUGUUAAGAAACGAAAGUUAGUCCUUUAUUGUGACAUUGUAGGAAUGAAAAUGUAGAAUAUAAUGAAGUAAACCUUUCAAAACCAUGCAAGGAACUAGACUGUCCCGGAGCAAGAUCGCUUUAAAAAAACAGAGAGAAAAAGACGCAUGUAUAUGUAAUUACAAAAUGUGAUCUGUAUGAUUUGCUUAAGUAAAUUAGGGGGUGUUUGAAAAUGUGCUUGUCACUAUAUAUUGAAUUAAGCAUAUAUUGCUCUAAGUAAUGAAAUAAAAUAAUCUGGAUUUGGUCAGCAUCUCCCUUAUUGUUGGUAGUCUAUCUAUAAGCCGUACCCCGUUUCUUGUUUUGGAACAUUCGCCAAAACACUCAACCAGGGAUGUGGUUUUUUUGAAAUAUAUUGCUUUAAUAAUGAACCACAUGUGGGGGGAGGAGGAACCAUUCGCUGAAGCAGUGGCUCUCAACCUUGUCAGACUACUGCACCCCUUUCAGGAGUGUGAUUUGUCUUGUACCCCAAGUUUCACCUCACUUAUAAACUACUUGCUUACAAAAUCAGACAUACACAUACAAAUGUGUCAAAGCACAUUAUUACAGAACAAUUGCUUACUUUCUCACGUUUACCAUAUAAUUAUAAAGUAAAUCAAUUGGAAUAUAAAUUUUGUACUUACAUUUCAGUGUAUAGUAUAUAGAGCAGUAUAAACAAGUAAUUGCAUGAAAUUUUAAUUGGUACUGACUUCACUAGUGCAUUUUACAUAGCCUGCUGUAAAACGAGGCAAAUAUCUAGAUGAGUUGAUGUACCUCCUGGAAGACCUCUUUGUACCCCCAGGGGUAUGUGCGUUAAAGAACUAGUAAUACAAUUUGUUUAAUGCUUAUUUUAGGAAGGAAAUAUUGUUUGUCUCCUCUUUUGGUUCCACCUGUCAAAAUAUUUGACUGCUGGGAACAACUAAAUAUCUGUUUGAUGGACAACUUGUUUGAAAGAGGGUAAACAUGAAAAUCAUCCUACUGAUGUCAGAUUUCUUAGCAUUCUAUUUCCUGAGGAACUUUUACUUUGAAAUGUCAUGGAAGCUAUAGUUUUGGUUGUAUUUUUUUCCGAGAAUCGUAGGGUAAUCUGUUUCCUGUUCCUAUCAUAUUAAAUCUUGCUUAGAUUUGCAUGUAGAAUUCACAUGGCUCUUUAUGCUGACUCAUUUUUACAGGUAGGUUUAUGUUACGUUUCUAUAGUGGCAUAAUUAUAUUAAGAUUCUCUUUGUUAACUACUAAAAAAUUUAAUUGUUUAUCAAUGCAAAGGUCAGCACAAGUACCACUUUGCAGAAUGACUGCAGUUUCCAGUGCCCUUUGCAUUGUAUAACGGAUUAGAUGUUCAUUUUGGUUUAUGCCAGUUAUCUCACUAAAUAAAAGAGAGUCACUAACUGAGUCUCUGAUUAGGAUUUACGGGCUCAAAGCCACAUUCUUCCAAUGGAUCUCGGGGUGCACGGGGCAUACACGUUAUGGCCCCAUAUGGUAAAUAUUUCAAAUGUUCAGAAUACUGGUUGUCUUCCUGUACUCUUAUUUUUCCCCUGGAACAUAAACAGUUACUCAACAUUUAAUAUAAGGUACAGAAUUACCUCACAUUUUAACAGAAGUCGAACACUAUAAUUUUUAAAAAAGUUCAAAGGAUCAGAAAAAGGGUAUCAUUGUUAUAAAAAAGCGUCUCUACCUUUGUUUUAAAGAAUAAAUAGCAAUUUUGAAAUAGAUGUAGAGACACCGACACUCUUGUCGGUGUGAUGACUCUGUAUAAACAGGAUAUCAAAUACUUGACUAUUUGACUCCCUAGUGACGUAAACAGUGUAACUCCAGCAAGACGGUAUAGUAAAAAUGAAGUAUUUUAAAAAUACUUCAGCAAAUGACACAGACUCAAGAACUCUGGGCAAAUAGUGUAUUCAAAGCUGUUUCCUAUUUAGGUUUUGGCUUCCAGAAAAUGGGCAAUUAUUAUCAAAAAUGCUAAAACUUCACAUGUGGAGAAUAUCAUUAUCUUUUUGGGUCAUUGGACAUUCAAAAAGACAGAAAUUAUGAUGACACCAACCCGGAAAUUAACUUGUAAAUUGCUGACAAAUAAGUGAAACUUUCCAGAUCUAGUAGCUAAUUGAAAUAAUUGAGCUAGUUUUUCCUCUUGCAACACUAAAACCGAAAUGUGUGUUUUUGACAUUUCAAACUUUCAUUUUUGAUAGAUCAUUCAUCGAGAGCCAGAGAGCUGUCAUUUAAAUAUCUCUUUCCCUUAAAGUAUGAAUUAAUAUCGACGGUGCGACUGAGUUUAUUUUAAUCGUCUGUAGGUAGCUUUGUUUAUACACAGAAAACUGGUUUGCAGUGCAUACAAAGUACAUUUCUUCAAUUCUUGCCAGGGACACCCAGCUGAGAUAGAAAGUCAUAGGAUGUAUUUGUCCUACCACAUUUUCGGGGCCCAUUACGUACGUUUUUGAUUAUUUAGUUUUUUGUUUUAAUGAGGAAUACGUUAGAGGAGUUCUAAAAAUGAAGCGCUUAUCCGAAACUCAUAUUUUGCACUGAAUACUGCUCUGCCUAUAUCUUAAUUGUUAUGGCAUAUGAAGUGAAGAAUGACCAUAACUGAAAGUCUGGCAACAUUUACAUUGCCAGCCCUGUUCUUCGAACAGCCCAGCCCCACAGAUAGCAUUAUCACUUUUGCAAAGUGACAAAUACUUCUCUCUAAAUAAUUAAUGUUAGCUUAGUUGUUGCACCCACGGCUUAUCUCUAUCCCGCAGACACCCUAACCAGUGAAACCAGUGGACGUGCAGCAGGCAGCGGCUGCUUUGAGACCUUCCUUUCCUCUUUUCCUUCUCUUCAGAAUGUUGCAGUUAAAAUGUUGAUAUUUUGGUGAUUCUUACAUUUAACAUCUGCAGCUGCUGGUGGUCAGUGUUUACAAUAAUACACCCUGUAAAGAAGGUCUUUUAUCUCCUGCCUUGGAGCGUUUGGGCCUUUCACAACAACCAGGAAACACUACAGAGCACCAAGAUCUGGAGAGGUUCCUACAAUCGAAAAGUCAGAUUCUGUUCUCAAUGACACCAAGCACUGGUGAAAGUUGAUGAGUUGACUGCACUGGAAACUCAGGUCUUCUCUUUAACCAUAUUGCAGGAUGGCAGGCUUUUCAACAUUAUCCCUGUUCAUUGGCCCUGCCCUGGAAAAACUAUGUACAGGUCGUGACUGGAGGGGAUUCGCAGAGGUCCUGCGUGCUGUGAACCUGGGGGUCCCAACACCCUGAAGUAGCCUUUGAGGGACAGCUGUUUGAGGAAGCAGAUGAGGCACCCAAGAACCCUAACCCGAAUGGCCAAGCAACCAGAGAUUCUGACUGCGACCCCCUCAGAUGAAGAGGUCACCCUAGGGAACCCGUUUGGGAAGAGGCCGAGUUUGGGGGCAUACUUCAGCCUGGACCAAAGGGAGGAUCCCAUGCUCAGUUGGGCCUCUGAAUAGCUGACUUGCAUCAAGUGGACCAUGACUGAGCCCCAUCGGACAACAAUAUAUGCCCACUUCGAAUUGACCGGUGACCACCUUUACUGGAUCGACCGUGAUCCUUGGACAUAUGACACUUGAGCGCAGCUCGUGGUACCCUGAUGUCACUGAUGUGUGGUCUUGCAACUCACCCAUGACAUUUCAGCGUCCGGCCACCUGUGUCAUGAGAAAACACUAGUGCGAGUUCUGGCCUGGUUCUUCUGGUUAAACAAUAAUAAUUUAUAGAGCAGUUCAUCUCCAAGUGUCCCAAAGGGCUUUACAGAAUAGUGCUUAAUUCUGCGCUCAAUGAAAGCAGCAUGAGCAGGAUCUUGCCUUACAAAUGUAAUGUACCACAGAAUGCAGCCACCUCUGUUGUGGAGGUCAGUGGACAAUGCCUAGCACAUUACUCCAAAGUGUGUGUGUGUGAAGUUUGAUCAAGUCACCAGAUCAAACUCUUACUCUUACACAAAGCACCAUAGAAUAUUCAAAGUUCAGGCAAAGCAGAUCGGACCUUCAUUUUGAAGAUCUUAUCCAAAAGACCUCUGAUUGCAAAUGUAAAUGUACAUUUAUUUGAAAAGGUACCAUCAAACAAUACCUCAUACUUAAAUGCACUUGCAAUCAAAGUGGUGUACAAGACCAUCCUAUUACUAAAUAACAGGAUUUUAGCCAUCCCAGUCUAUUCAGGGUUAGUGCUGUGCAUUGCCAUGCUAGAGAGCUGAGUUCAGUCUCUGGGCUGGCAGGGGAUGAGUGCAGUGUGGAAAUAGAAUGUUUAGCUUCUGAGAUCAGGAAAGAAGUGUCAUUCUUAAGAAUGGUGCUGAUGAGCUCCGAAGCCAGUCCCACAUUCCUUUCCUCAGCCACAAGGAAAAAAAGUUCAACUUGAGAUCUGAGAAAUGGUGGAAUGAAAACGGGGAUUUUCCAGGUUCCAAGAGAGCAGAAGAAAAGCCAUAUAGGUCUGUAUAACUCACUUGCUGCUCUCCAAAUGUCAGGUUUGCUUUCUUACAUUUUGGACAUUGCAACAACUUAAAAAAUCACAAAGAAUGGCAUUUUGAGAAGUCAUAUUACUACAGAUGGGUGGAAGUGUUGCAAGUGACUUCAGUAGGAGCAAGUCUGAGCCCAUAAUGGAACUGUCCGUUGCAAUGCUUGAUAGAGUACAGCACAGAAGUACUUCUUUAGACAGUUAUCCAUCUUUUAUUGUCAUGAUCUGCCAACAAAUAUCUGUCACCAUUUCCGUAUAUUAGUUUCUUCUCUGAGGUGGCCUCUAUGUUUUUCCACUUGUGGGAGUCUACUAAGCAGUACAAACCCUAGAAGAAUAGACUGAGGCACUUUAAUUAAACAACUACUGUAGAACUGUCUUCAUAAUCAUACAUCAGAUCUGGAUGCCAAAUCAAGAAAGUGGUGCUGAGUAAAGGUGCAAACAGAAUUCCAGGUACCAGCCCUGCAGAUUUCUAUGAUGGAAACAUUGUGGAGGCAAGCCAUCAAUACCACCUUAGCUGUGUCAGCUGCAUGAAGAACUCCUUUUGAGCUCCACUAAUCCUUAUGGAAAGUGGACCAGAGGUCUCCACAAUUGGAAUGCUCUGCCCAAGUAUGACCUUGAAACUGAGAAGAGCUUGACACCAACAGGGUGAGGUUUAGACAGAGGUCUUCCUGGUGCUGACAUAAUUGCUAGUACUGAGAGAGAUGCACUGGUAGCAUCAGUAGGUCCCUGCUAAGAAACUGCUUGACAUUGAGUGUACCUUCGCACCAACAGACCCAGACAACAAAGUUAGUUUUUCUCACACCAGAGCAGCCAUGGGACCAGAAACAGAGUGUUCCAUUGAUUUGGUUCUGGAUGAUGGUACCAGACCUGAAAAUGAAGGCUUCUUCUUUCCAGUUGGAGGGGGCUUAAAGGCUGAAUUUGGCAAGGGAACUGUGCCCUGACCUGAAUUGGACCAGUGAUCUAGCUCAUAAUGUCUCUAACAUCAGGAAAGCCUGGAUCCAGGCCUGCCUGUCCUUUCAGGCCUGAUAUGUAAAAGCACAGCAAGCCAAACAACAGUUGAGGGGAAGGACUUUUCCAAGGCACAUUAGACAACAGGUAUGUGCACACAAGUCUGGGAAGAUGGAGAGUAUGAGAUACACCAUUUACACCAGACAUUUUUUCAAACCUUUGGGGUCCAGAUCGGACAUGAUGUCCUGGAAUUGAGCUGGAGUUGGUCUGGGAAUCUAAAACUAAAUAAUAGCUUUAAAAACUAGUAUUAAUGAAUUAGGAAAGUCUUGUAAAUUCACCCUCUCCCAAAUUUCUUGGCUUGAAGGGAAGGUCUCUCCACCUGCAUCUUGCUGCAGAAUGGAAGGAACAUAGGCAGUUGGAGUUCACACAGCUUCUUAUAACCUUGGUUCUAAAAGUUUCAUGCCAUGAGGAGGGCACUCAUGUUUUCCCAACAGGCACUGCUUUCUAGUAGGUUCCAAAGCUCAGGGGCACAAGACGGCCUCAUUCUACAAGUGGGAAUAUGCUGAGGCCACCUCAAAGAAGAAAUUAAAUAUAUAUUUCAAAGUAGUUUUGGUUAUUGCAAACAGGGCUGUUGAAACAAUGACAAAAAAUUGAAUUCAUUCAGUAUAAAUAGCUGCAAAAUGUACAAAGAACGUAACUGUUGUCUCAACAAUAUUAUGCUGCUGCAGUUUCUGUCACAGUGAUUUUUCCCCCCCAGUCUAUUUUGUAAAGGUCAAAGUGUAAAACCAUGUUUUUAAGUGUACUUCUGACAUGUUUCUGCAGAAAAGUAAUUAAAGAAGAUGAAAGUGACCUUUACUCACAUGGCGCAAGACAAAUGAAACUGUUGUAUUCUUUCUCCUUCAGCAAUUUUCUUUGAUGCUUAUGUCUCAUAGACUUUAUAGGUGAUAAAAAAGCAACACAUAAGAUUAGUGCACAUAAAAUUUGUAUGCAAUUUUGCACCCACAUUUGCAUGUGCAAUUGCUAUGACUGCAUGUGCAAAUUCAGAGAUUACACAUGCAAAUGACUAAUUAAUCGCCCCAUUUGUAAGUACAGUGGCAGUUGCAGCAAUACUGUAGACAUGCAGUAAAAUACAUGUUUUUAGCAUAUUCAGGUGGUCACCUAUUUUUUAAAAAUGUGGCUGUAUAAAUGGGUAUUUUACCUGUCACAGAAAUAGAUUUAAACAAAUCCUAUAAAGCAGUGUAGUCUUGAGGAAUGAGCACAACACUGGGAAUCAGGAAUGCUAAUCCUGGUUCUGCCACAGACUUGUAACCUUUCAGUUUCAACAUCUGUAAAAUGGGAAUAAUAGUAUUUACUCACCAAUUUCCAGGGGUGUUGUGAAGACUGAUUAAUUAGUUAAUGUUGGUUCAGUGCUUUGAACAUAUAAAACAAAUAUAAAAUGCUAAUUAUUAUUUACCCAUCUUUAUAAAGGACUUUGAGAUCCUUAGAUGAAAAACUCUGCUAUAUCAGUGAAAAAUAUUAUUGUUAUUCUUAUUAUGAAGUAGUUGGAGCAAUCAGAAAUUAUUGUGGUCUCCAAUAUUGUUAGUUAUCAUGAGAUGUUUUUAUAAAGGAAACAUAUCAAAUUAGAAAGCAGAAGCAAAACUUUAUUUGUACACUGCUAAGUUUUAUUUAUUAAAUCCUCUUAUAUAUAGCCGGGUCACAUGCUAACUCAUGUUAGUGCUUCAGUUUUGUUUUUCUAAAACAUUUUACAUCAAUGAGUGGUUUAUUCUGAAAUCUUUUUUAAAAAAUAUAUAAAUAGUGACAAAGCAAGUAGUUUGAUACAUUUUAUGGAUCCAACUUAGAGGUCUUCAUACACACACUUCUGUGUGGUAAGGAGGCUUGCAUAUUUUUGAACUCUAAGUUGGUCUAAUAAAAGAUAUCAGACUACAGUACUUGCUUUGUCUGCUCUGUUUUGCUGGUCCAGAAUGACUACAAGGUUCACUUUCAAUUUUUAUCAUAAAAACCGGGAAAGAGUUGAUUUUGUGUUAAUAGCCUUGAAAGAGGCUUGUACAACAGUACAGAAUGUUGCCAGUUUGAAAUAGAUACUCAUUACAAAAUAUGAAGAUGUGAAGUUAUACCAUCUUGGAAAUUUUGUUUUUAUAAGUAAGACUGGUUUUAAAAUAAAACCUUUAAGUAAUCAUACCAUACGUUUGAUGGUGGAAAUUAGUAUGAAUGUUUCUGGCAAGUGAAUGAUGUGAUGUGGUUAUAUGUUUCUGCUUUCAUUGCUUGCUCAAUAUUGGCCUUUAAUAUACACAGAUUACCAUGUAGAUGGAAGGAAUUUACAGUCUUGGCCUCCUUGUUUCACUCUGUGUUGCAACACCUUUUUCACACUUUAUGUUAAACAUCCUGUUGACUGCAUUUAUCCCUAUAGAAAGGAAAUAUCUGUGGAUUGAGACAGUUCUGUUGACGUACAUUGGGAACCUGUGUCAGCUUUCACUAUUUAAUGAGAUGAAAUGAGUAUUAUUUAGCACCUACCAUGAUAUUCACAUGGGUGAAAUCCUGGCCUGAUGGAAUCCAAUGGCAAAAUUCCCGUUGACUACAGUGGGGUUAAGAUUUCACCCAUGGUUCCUAACCAUCUGGUAAUGGAGCAGAUUGGCAGCUCAGGAGAACACCAUAAUAAUAUCAGUAAAGAAAAUGCAUUCAAAUAAAAGAAAAAGAGUCAGUACUAUAAACUGUCAAAGGAAUAGGUUUUCAACACAAAUAAAAUCCAAGUUGUAUAAAA